UGACUUUGGAUUAGGUAGGAAUACUUAUUAAAUUUAAGUAUAUUAAUAAGCAGAGGAAAAGAAAUUAAUAGGGAUUGCCCUAGUAAUGGCGAGUGAAGUGGUAAUAGUUCAAAUUUGAAAUUUAACUUCGGCCCGAAUUAUAAUUUAUAGAAGAAGCUUUUAGUAAAGUACUUUUUAAAUCCCUUAGAACGGGGCGCUAUAGAGGGUAAAAACCUUAUAUAGUUGGAUGCCAAUUUAAUAUAAAGUUCCUUCGACGAAUUGAAUAGUUUAGGAAUAUUAUUUAAAAUAGGAGGUAAAUUUCUUCUAAAGUUAAAUAUUAGUUAGAAACUAAUAGUAUAUAAGUAGAGUAAUUGAAAGAUAAAAAGUAUUUUAAAAAGAGGGUUAAAUAGUACGUAAAAUUAUUAAAAGGGAAGUAUUUAUAAUUAGAUUUGCGUUAUUCCAAUUAUUUAGUAUUUUUAUUAGUAUAUUUGGGAUAGUUUAGGCUAAUAUUAAUUUUAGUAGGGGGAUAAAGGUCCGGGGAAUGUAGCUCCUCUAGGAGUAUUAUAACCCUAAGCGUAAUACCCUUACCGGGAUUAAAAUUCGUAUAUUUAUAAAGAUACUAAUAUAAUAAUUAUUAAUAAUUUGUUUUAAAAUAUAGAUUAAGGAAUUAAGGUUUUACGUAAGUAUUUGGGUAUAAAAUCCGUAUACGUAAUGAAAGUAAAUAUAAGUAAGAGCUUCGGCGUAUUAUUAACCGAUUUUAAUAUAUUUAAAUAAAUUUAAGUAAGAGUAUUAAGCUUUAGACCUAAAAGAUAGUAAACUAUACUUAGAUAGGGUGAAGUUAGAAGAAAUUCUAAUAGAAGUUCGUAGUAGUUUUGAUAUAUAAAUUAAUUAUUAAAUUUAAGUAUAGGGGCAAAAGAUUAAUUGAAUUAUUUAGUAGCUAGUUACCGCCGAAGUUUCCCUUAAGAUAGUAGUAUUAUUCUUUAGUUUUAUAAAAUAAAGCGAAUAAUUAGGGAUUCGGGGGCGCUUUUUAACCUUUAUUUAUUUUUAAACUUUAAAUAUAUAAAAAACCCUUAUUAUUUAAUUAAAUAUAAGUAUUCAAAUAUAUUAAUAUUAGUAGGCUAUUUUUAGUAAAUAGAAUUAAUAAUAUAGAAUAAACCGAAUACAGGAUUAAGGUAUUAGAGUGGACGUUUAUUAAAUACUAUAAAAGGCGUUAGUAUAUUUUAAUAGUAGGACGGUAGCUAUAGAAGUUAGAAUCCGUUAAAGAUUAUAUAAUAAUUUAUUUACCGAAUAUAUUAACUUUAAAAAUAAAUAGUACUUAAGCAUUCUACUUAUACCCCGCCUUUAGAAUAGAAAUAAUACCUUAAGAAGUAGGCGGUUAUAGAAGUUAGUAAUAAAGCUUAAGGUAUAAGCCUAGGUUGAACGGCCUUUAGUGUAAAUUUUAAUAGUAGUAGUAAAUACUUUAAUAAGAAUUUAAAGGAUUGAAGUAGGGAAAAGUUUUAUAUAAAUAGUAGUUGGAUAUAGGUUAAUCGAUUCUAAGCUAUAGGGAAGUUUUGUUUUAAAGGGGUAUUUAUACUCUAUAUAGCGAAAGGGAAGCUGGUUAAUAUUUUGGUAUUUGAAUGUGGGUUUUGCGUAAUAAUAUAAUUAAAUGCGGAGACGACGGCGGGGGCCCCGGGUAAAAUUCUUUUUUCUUUUUAAUAGUUUAUUAUUUUAAAAAUAGUUUGUUUGGAGAUAGGGUUUAAUAGCCGGAAGAAUUUAAUAUUUUUAUUAGGUCCGGUGCGUUUUUAAUAUCCUUUAAAAAUCUAUAGGAGGGAAUAAUUUUUAUAUUAGGUUAUAUUUAUAAUUGUAGUAGGUCUUUAAAGUAAAUAGUCUUUGGUUGAUAGAAUAAUAUAGAUAAGGGAAAUUAGUAAAAUAGAUUUGUAAUUUCGGGAAAAAGAUUAGCUUUAAGGGUUAGGUAUAUUGGGUUUUAGGUAAAUGCCUUAGGAGUAGAUUGCUACUAGUUAGGUAAUUGGUUAGUAGCUUUUAGUAUUUGGGUAUAGAAGUUUUUAGUAGAUUUCGGUUGUUCGGUAUAUAUUUAAUAAUUAAUUUAAAAUUAGUAUAGAUAGGGGGAAUUUAAUUAUUUAAUUAAAAUAUAGUAUUGCAAUAGUUAGAAAGUAGUAUUAAUAUAAUAUAAUUUUUAUUUAGUAUUCUAAAUAUUAAAGUGAAGAAAUUUAAUUAAGUGUAGGUAAAUGGCGGGAGUAACUAUAAUUUUUUUAAAGUAGUUAAAUAUUUUAUUAUUUAAUUAGUAAUGCGUAUAAAUGGAUUAAUAAAAUUCCUACUAUUUUUAUUUAUUAUUUAGUGAAACUAUAGUUAAGGGAACGGAUUUAGUAGAAUUAGUGGAGAAAGAAGACCCUAUUAAAUUUAACUUUAAUUUAAUAUUGUAAAAAGAUAUAGGAGGUAUAGAAUAGGUGGGAGCUUUGGUAUUAGUAAAAUACUAUUAUUCUUAUUAUUUUUUUAUUUAUUUAAUUAAGUAGGGCUGGAUUUUUGUUUAAUUUCUAGUUUUAAGGUCCUUUACGGGCUAAUCCGGAUUGAAAAUAUUAUUAGGUAGGGAGUUUGGUUGGGGCGGUAUAUUUAUUAAAUUAUAAUGUAGGUGUCCUAAGGGGGGCUUAUAGAGAAUAGAAAUCUCUAGUAGAAUAAAAGGGUAAAAGUCCCUUUAAUUUUAAUUUUUAGUAUAAAUACAAACUAUAAAAGUGUAGUCUAUUAAUCCUUUAGUCCUUUGAAAUUUAAGGUUAGAGGUGUUAGAAAAGUUACUAUAGGGAUAAUUGGUUUGUGGCGGUUAAGUAUUUAUAGUAAUAUUGCUUUUUGAUCCUUUGAUAUUAGUUUUUCUUAUUAUAUUGAAGUAGAAUUUAGUAAGCGUUAGAUUGUUUAUUUACUAAUAGGGAAUAUAAGUUGGGUUUAGAUUAUUAUAAAAUAGGUUAGUUUUAUUUUAUUAAUAAUUUUAUUAUAAUAGUAAUUAAAUUUAGUAUAAAAGGAAUUGCUUAUUUAAAUAAUUAGUUUUUAUAGUUAUUUGACUGGGUAGUAUUGUAAUACUACUAUUUAUUAGAUAAUGGUUAAAUAUUUUUAAAUUAGAAUUUAUAUUAGAAUACGAUGAUAUUUUUAAUAUAUUGUAGAUAUAUAAGAAUAGGCUCUAACUUUGUAUUUUAGUAGGCGAUUCCUUUGUUAAUUUUAAAGUAGCUAGCGGUAAUUUACGUAUUGUAAUUUUAAUACAUAUUAGAUUAAAUCCUUUAUAGAUAAUUUAAAUAUACGAAAGGGUCCUAUAAGUAGUAGAAUAGCUUUAUUAUUAUAAUUUACUAAGGGUAAGCCUUCCUUCGUUUAGAUUUUU
rfam:Neurospora crassa OR74A unplaced genomic scaffold supercont12.8, whole genome shotgun sequence.